CCGAACUUGGCGCAGCUGGUAGCGUAGAGGACUGUAAAGGAUUCAGUUUAUCCUUUGGUCGCCAGUUCAAGUCUGGCAGUUCGGA
rnacentral:tRNA from 1 species